AAAACUUUCAACAACGGAUCUCUUGGUUCUGGCAUCGAUGAAGAACGCAGCGAAAUGCGAUAAGUAGUGUGAAUUGCAGAAUUCAGUGAAUCAUCGAAUCUUUGAACGCACAUUGCGCCCUGUGGUAUUCCGCAGGGCAUGCCUGUUCGAGCGUCAUUUA
rnacentral:rRNA from 1 species